rnacentral:rRNA from 1 species
AUUGAACGCUGGCGGCAUGCUUUACACAUGCAAGUCGGACGGCAGCACAGAGAAGCUUGCUUCUUGGGUGGCGAGUGGCGAACGGGUGAGUAAUAUAUCGGAACGUACCGAGUAAUGGGGGAUAACUAAUCGAAAGAUUAGCUAAUACCGCAUAUUCUCUGAGGAGGAAAGCAGGGGACCUUCGGGCCUUGCGUUAUUCGAGCGGCCGAUAUCUGAUUAGCUAGUUGGUGGGGUAAAGGCCUACCAAGGCGACGAUCAGGAGCGGGUCUGAGAGGAUGAUCCGCCACACUGGGACUGAGACACGGCCCAGACUCCUACGGGAGGCAGCAGUGGGGAAUUUUGGACAAUGGGCGCAAGCCUGAUCCAGCCAUGCCGCGUGUCUGAAGAAGGCCUUCGGGUUGUAAAGGACUUUUGUCAGGGAAGAAAAGGCUGUUGCUAAUACCGACAGCUGAUGACGGUACCUGAAGAAUAAGCACCGGCUAACUACGUG